rnacentral:rRNA from 1 species
GAUGAACGCUGGCGGCGUGCUUAACACAUGCAAGUCGAACGAGAAGUGAAGACGGAAACCUUCGGGCGGAAGGCUUUAUUUCGAGUGGCGGACGGGUGAGUAACGCGUGGGUAACCUGCCUCAUACAGGGGGAUAACAGUUGGAAACGACUGUUAAUACCGCAUAAGACCACAGCACCGCAUGGUGCGGGGGUAAAAACUCCGGUGGUAUGAGAUGGACCCGCGUUCGAUUAGCCAGUUGGCGGGGUAACGGCCCACCAAAGCGACGAUCGAUAGCCGAUCUGAGAGGAUGACCGGCCACAUUGGGACUGAGACACGGCCCAAACUCCUACGGGAGGCAGCAGUGGGGAAUAGUGCACAAUGGGGGAAACCCUGAUGCAGCGACGCCGCGUGAGUGAAGAAGUAUUUCGGUAUGUAAAGCUCUAUCAGCAGGGAAGAAAAUGACGGUACCUGAGUAAGAAGCCCCGGCUAACUACG